UAUUUCCUGUCUCCUAACAGAUGUUA
rnacentral:piRNA from 1 species